GUCAGGUUUGCAGCAGUGCAGAGGAGAGCUCAGGGAGGAACAACUCCUACUACGCAGCGCAUCUGGAAAAUCAAUGGUGCAUUGAUCCAAGCUUUGGCUCUGACAGAGGAGAGAGGGGAGGUGAAAGUGUGAUGACUGGCGGAAGAGCAAGAGAAAGAGGAAGGCGUGAAGAACGAAAGGGCUGAGCAGAUGAAGGUAAAAGAACUGCUCUCGAGAGUGGAUGAACAAGCCUCAAAUGGAACCUGAGAAGCAAAAAAAAAAGGAAAAAAAGAGGAGAAACAGGAGAGGAGAGUAGGAGGGGAGGGAGAAAAUCAAUUUUCCCAGACAGAGGCAGGCUGGUCUAAUGGAGGUCUAAAAGAAGAGGAGGAGGAGAGGACAUAUUUUCCUCUGAUUACCUCCUGUAGCCUUCCUGGCAAACCUUCAAAGCUGUAGCGUUGCUAGAACGGUCUCACUCGGCCCACCUUUUUGUAGGAGAAGGUGUGGAGACUGGUUGCUUCUUUCACUCAGCAGCAAUCAGGCUGUGAGGUGGACAAGACGGUGCAGCAACAACAACAAAAAUCCCAACACAGCGAGGAAAUGGCAAGUAAACACUGACCUGAAAGACACUUUAGAAAAUAAAAUCCUGCUCCGAUGAGCAGAAACGACCAUUUUUCUCUUUUCUUUGAAUUCUGAACAUUUGAAUGGGACAUCGAAGGUAAUUCUCUCUUUUUCUAAUCUCCAUGCUGCCCUUUCAUAGCAGUUAUGUAACCUGUUAGAUCUCCAAGGGAGAAGAUGAGCUGGAUUAAAGGGAUAAAGGCUUCCAUUUGGCCAAGAUGACCCAUUUAUAAAGCAUAAAGAAAGGAAAUUUGUCCUUAGUGUCUCUAUCAAAUGAAGGGAGAUAUCUGGAGUACCCCCUUUUGCUUGUGCUUCUCCGCUCAGAUGGCCUAUGACCAGGUUGCUAUGUUCAAUUUCCUGCAACAGACUGGAUUGUUAUGAAUUGGAGUGGAGUGGACCUUCAGUGCUAUGCAGAGAAAUUGCGGGCACUGAUUUGUUCCAGUUGUACCUAAGUGAAUUUUAAAUCUUGUUUAUGGCUGUCAUCAUAAAAUAAAAAGUGUUGCACGCCAAGGAAACGAGACGAGCAGAAAUUUGGCUUGUGGAGCAUCAAACCGCUGGCCGAGAAAAGCAACAAUAAAUCCAAACGCUGCAGAUUGCAGUUGUAGGAAAAAUAGACUCGAGUGGCUUAGGAAAUGAUUUCAAAUGUAAUGAGAAACAAGGCAUCUGAAGCUGGAAUCUGUGACCCACAGUAGCACCAAAGAGGAACAAAAGAGACUCAAAAACAAAAAGAGGGGGGACAGAUGUGGCUCCAGUAUCCUCAAACUCCCUCCACUCCAAUGGCCACUGUACGUCUGCUCCUGAAGCUUUGGGCUCGUUAAAACCAGUGAAUGUUCAAUCGGCUAUUAAACAGUGUUUCAAUGAACUUUUCCUUUUCUUUGGACCACUUAAUGUACAAAUACAGUGUUUCCCUCCUGGGAGAAAAGACACUAUAGUAUGGAGGGAGAAAAAAGCUCAGAAGGGUUUGAAAAGCUAUUAAA